rnacentral:rRNA from 1 species
UACAGAGGGUGCAAGCGUUGUCCGGAAUUAUUGGGCGUAAAGAGCUCGUAGGCGGUUCGUCGCGUCGGCUGUGAAAACCCGGAGCUCAACUCCGGGCCUGCAGUCGAUACGGGCGGACUCGAGUUCGGCAGGGGAGACUGGAAUUCCUGGUGUAGCGGUGAAAUGCGCAGAUAUCAGGAGGAACACCGGUGGCGAAGGCGGGUCUCUGGGCCGAUACUGACGCUGAGGAGCGAAAGCGUGGGGAGCGAACAGG